GUGACGGUGGUGUACUCGGCACAGACCGCGUGUACUACGGUAGCGGACUGCACGUGUAACGCUGGUGAGGUCGUGGACUGCCAUAACGACGCCUGCAAAUGCCACCACGGCACGUGCGAUAACCACUGCCGCGAUUUCGGGGGGUGCAACGAUACACAGCACGCGCACUGCAACAAGGAAUCCGUGUGCGAGUGCAAGGCCAACUAAUGGAUUGCAGGGCUAACUAAUAUUGCUGCAAUGGAGGAGUUGAAUAUACCUUACAUUUUAAUAAUCUGUACUGAGACUACCAUUCGUCGAAGAUCCUUUUAAAUAUUAUGAAUUGCAGCAAAUGACUUGUUAAAAAUAAAAUAAAAUAAAUCCAAUAAGCCUA